GACGAACGCUGGCGGCGUGCCUAAUACAUGCAAGUAGAACGCAGUUGCGAACGGGUGAGUAACGCGUAGGGAACUGCCUCAUAGCGGGGGAUAACUAUUUGAAACGAUAGCCAAUACCGCAUACUUUGAGAUGGACCCGUGUUGUAUUAGCUAGUUGGUGAGGUAAAGGCUCACCAAGGCGACGAUACAUAGCCGACAUGAGAGGGUGAACUGGCCGACUGGGACUGAGACACGGGCCCGACUCCUACGGUAGGCAACAGUAGGGAAGCAUCGGCAAUUGACGGAAGUCUGAACAAGCAACGCCGCGUGGGUGAAGAAGGUUUUCGGAUCGUAAAGCUCUGUUGUUAGAGAAGCGGUACCUGACCAAAAAGGGACGGCUAACUACGUGCCAGCAGCCGCGGUAAUAC
rnacentral:rRNA from 1 species